AAAAAGAAAAAUAUAUUAUAUACAGAAAGAAAGAAAAAAUACUAUUUUGGCCUUCUGGUAUAUCUUAUCAUAGAGCUGUCAAUGAUGAAAUGGAUGCAGAUGAAACAUGGGACAAAUAUAAACUUAUCAAAAUCAAAUUUGAGAGUGAAUUAAUAUAUGAUGUACUGGAAAAAUAUCUGAUGGCACAUUUAAAGUGAAAAGUAAUGUUUAUGUUACCAGAUUUUCCGUUGCCUCCACCAGUUUUGCAAUCCAUACCAACAAAAUCAUUAAAGAGAUCAUUUGAUUUUAAUUUGUCACCUGGAUCAAUUAUUUUAAAACAAUCAAAUAUUUGUUCUGCUUUGCCAGACUCUUCACCUUUACACACAGAGGAACAAUCAACUUCGUAUUCUGAGUCACUGUCUUUGCCUAACUUUUUUUACCUUCAAAAUCAACUGAAAAGGAACAAUCAAAUUUUUUUUACAGGUGAAACCCUUAUACUCAAGAGUUCAAAAAAAAAGAAAACAAAAGAAGAAGUACAAAAAAAAACUAUGAUUGAAGCCCUUGGACCAAAGAAGUUAGUUAAAAAUCAGUUUCCUAUGGAAGUUGGAAAAUACCAGCAUAUGAUGUUCAAGAUGGUAUCAAAAAUUCUUGAAAAUCAGGAGCUAAUUAUUGCUGUAAAUAAACAACCCCAUAGGAAUUUGGCAGUUAAGCAUUUAGAGACUAUAGCAGAAUACAAAGAUUUUGUCAAAUAUUUAGAGGAUGAUUCAGUUCUCCUUGAUUAGGUUAAACAACUGAGUUUUUUAGGCGCAGAAGAUUAUAAACAGCUGACAAGAUUGGUUAUGAAUAGAUUAUUUACAAAUACCCUAUUGGCACAGUUUAAUUUAAUAGGUUCUGGUGGAAAAAUUGGUUUAUUAUCAACGAAGCUAUAUGAUGUAUUAGAAGGUUUUUACCUCCCCAAAGCUCAAGGGGGUCACUACAGUCGAGGAGGCUACUAAUUUUUUUAUUUUUUUUAUUUUUAUUGUAAAUCGUGGUACAACCCUCUCUCAACUCUUUAACUCCGAAACACGAACCUUGACAAGCAAGGCCGCUGCACGGAAAAAUUAAGUUGAGCGCGGUACUUACAGAGAUGCGGUGGGAGCCGAACUUCGAACCUCUUGCAUACAAAGCAUACAAAGCGAGCGCUCUUACCACUACACCACUGCCGCAUAAAUUAUGUGGCAAGUUUACAUUUUAUUAUUUGGCAAGUUUUUGUAAUUUUUAAUUUA